CGUGGGGGCGCUAUACUUCCGCUUGUUGUUCAGCUUACUUCCGCCUGUUGUUAUGGCGACGCGGAUUGCUUGGCUGUACCUGGAGAUAUUAUACAGAGAAUUCUGUAUCUGAAUAAUCUGUUAUUACAGUAUCUGUGUGUAGUGUAGAGAUGAUGAUGACGAUGAGCGUCAGUCAGCGCGCUCUGGACACAAUCCUGUCUACAAUUGUGUUGGCGGUGGUGUUGGUGUCCUGGGGGUUUGUGAUCUACAGCGCUCGUGUAGCUGCACAGUGGGAGCUGGAGAAGAGAAUCAACACACAAACGUGAAGGAGGAGACUCGCACACACCGAGACACAGCCUGGAGACAGAAAUGCACACACACUCCUUCACAUGGACACACACACACACACACUCCUUCACACGGACACACACUCCUUGAUAAAACAUUGUACUCGUUGGUAAAUUGCUGUAGAAUAAGAGGAAUAAAGACGUGCUGUGUUUAUUUCUGACUGUUUAGAAAACAUCUCAAUAUAACUACAUUAAAAAUAUCUUAAACUGAACACUAA